UGAAUUUAGACUUCACUCGCCAUCCAAGA
rnacentral:piRNA from 1 species